AGCCCGCGGCGAGAGCGGGUAUGUGGGCGGGAGGCCGGAGCAGCUGUCAGGCUGAAGUCCUGCGAGCGACGCGCGGCGGGGCGGCGAGAGGAAACGCGGCGCCGGGCCGGGCCCGGCCCUGGAGAUGGUCCCCGGCGCCGCGGGCUGGUGUUGUCUCGUGCUCUGGCUCCCCGCGUGCGUCGCGGCCCACGGCUUCCGUAUCCAUGAUUAUUUGUACUUUCAAGUGCUGAGUCCUGGGGACAUUCGAUACAUCUUCACAGCCACACCUGCCAAGGACUUUGGUGGUAUCUUUCACACAAGGUAUGAGCAGAUUCACCUUGUCCCCGCUGAACCUCCAGAGGCCUGCGGGGAACUCAGCAACGGUUUCUUCAUCCAGGACCAGAUUGCUCUGGUGGAGAGGGGACUCGGGUGGUCCAGGAGCACGGCGGGCGGGCGGUGAUCAUCUCUGACAACGCAGUUGACAAUGACAGCUUCUACGUGGAGAUGAUCCAGGACAGUACCCAGCGCACAGCUGACAUCCCCGCCCUCUUCCUGCUCGGCCGAGACGGCUACAUGAUCCGCCGCUCUCUGGAACAGCAUGGGCUGCCAUGGGCCAUCAUUUCCAUCCCAGUCAAUGUCACCAGCAUCCCCACCUUUGAGCUGCUGCAACCGCCCUGGACCUUCUGGUAGAAGAGUUUGUCCCACAUUCCAGCCAUAAGUGACUCUGAGCUGGGAAGGGGAAACCCAGGAAUUUUGCUACUUGGAAUUUGGAGAUAGCAUCUGGGGACAAGUGGAGCCAGGUAGAGGAAAAGGGUUUGGGCGUUGCUAGGCUGAAAGGGAAGCCACACCACUGGCCUUCCCUUCCCCAGGGCCCCCAAGGGUGUCUCAUGCUACAAGAAGAGGCAAGAGACAGGCCCCAGGGCUUCUGGCUAGAACCCGAAACAAAAGGAGCUGAAGGCAGGUGGCCUGAGAGCCAUCUGUGACCUGUCACACUCACCUGGCUCCAGCCUCCCCUACCCAGGGUCUCUGCACAGUGACCUUCACAGCAGUUGUUGGAGUGGUUUAAAGAGCUGGUGUUUGGGGACUCAAUAAACCCUCACUGACUUUUUAGCAAUAAAGCUUCUCAUCAGGGUUGCAA